UGGGGAAUUUUGGACAAUGGGGGCAACCCUGAUCCAGCCAUGCCGCGUGCGGGAAGAAGGCCUUCGGGUUGUAAACCGCUUUUAGCUGGGAAGAAAAGGCACGGGCCAAUACCCCGUAUUCUUGACGGUACCGGCGGAGUAAGCACCGGCUAACUACGUGCCAGCAGCCGCGGUAAUACGUAGGGUGCGAGCGUUAAUCGGAAUUACUGGGCGUAAAGCGUGCGUAGGCGGUUCGUUGUGUCUGCCGUGAAAGCCCCGGGCUCAACCUGGGAAUGGCGGUGGAAACUGGCGAGCUGGAGUGUGGCAGAGGGGGGUGGAAUUCCAGGUGUAGCAGUGAAAUGCGUAGAGAUCUGGAGGAACACCGAUGGCGAAGGCAGCCCCCUGGGCUGACACUGACGCUGAGGCACGAAAGCGUGGGGAGCAAACAGGAUUAGAUACCCUGGUAGUCCACGCCCUAAACGAUGGCAACUGGGUGUUGGGGGAGCGAUUCCUCAGUACCGUAGCUAACGCGUGAAGUUGCCCGCCUGGGGAGUACGGCCGCAAGGUUA
rnacentral:rRNA from 1 species